rnacentral:rRNA from 1 species
CACGUACUAUCAGAGUUUGAUCCUGGCUCAGGACGAACGCUAGCGAUAGGCUUAACACAUGCAAGUCGAGGGGCAGCAUUAUUUUAGCUUGCUAAGAUAGAUGGCGACCGGCGGAUGGGUGCGUAACGCGUAUGCAACAUACCCCUUAUUAGGGAAUAACCCGGAGAAAUCCGGACUAAUACCGCAUACACUUAGUUAUCCGCAUGGAUGAUUAAGGAAAGAUUUAUUGCUAAGAGAUAGGCAUGCGUUCCAUUAGUUAGUUGGUGAGGUAACGGCUCACCAAGGCAUCGAUGGAUAGGGGAGCUGAGAGGCUUAUCCCCCACAUUGGGACUGAGACACGGCCCAA